UACGUAGGGUGCAGGCGUUAAUCGGAAUUACUGGGCGUAAAGCGUGCGCAGGCGGCUCCUUAAGUCAGAUGUGAAAGCCCCGGGCUUAACCUGGGAACUGCGUUUGAAACUGGGGGGCUUGAGUGAGACAGAGGUGAGCGGAACUGAUGGUGGAGCGGUGAAAUGCGUUGAUAUCAUCAGGAACACCGGUGGCGAAGGCGGCUCACUGGGUCUCAACUGACGCUGAGGUACGAAAGCGUGGGGAGCAAACAGG
rnacentral:rRNA from 1 species